rnacentral:lncRNA from 1 species
CAUCUGUUUCAGACAUUUAUUUCCAUUUAAAUGACACUUUGAAAGAUCGAGGAGCCAAUCUGUACCGCAAAGACAACUUAUCAUCAAAGACUCUAGAAGUACAAUCGUAUCAAUUCACAAGACUUGAUUUCUUCAACUUAAAUGAUAGCUUUUAGUUAAAAUAUACCUGAGAGAAGAACUCCAAAGGAUGCCUGCCUCAUAAUCUGCCCUGGACUUGUCAUUCCCGACAGGACACCUCAAUGGACACUGCCCCACCCCAUUAAGACUCUGAAGCGUAGGGUCCCAUUGCUUUGCUUCCGAAAUCCAAGGGGAACAAGAAGUACCCAUCUCUUACAAAAAUAAGCAUGUCAACAUUGUUCAGUACAUUUUUCUACACAUAUAAAAUCAAAAUAAAUUGUAAAAAUAUUUUUCCAGGUACAAAAUAAAUAUAGAAAACAUCAAUGUAAAAACAAAAGGAUUGUCCGAUUCAGACCAUUACCUUGCCAAUUUUUCGGGAAGAGUGAAUUAUCACAUCAAUCGACAACCUAAAACUCACCUAGUUAAGUGCAUUAUUUUCAUAAUUUAAUUUUCAUUAAAAAUAAAUAUGAUUAUUAACCAAUAAUAAGGACAUAUACCCAUUUCCAAAAUACAAUGACAUAAGAGUCUAGCAGAUCCCCCUAAUAUACAAGGAAAUGACAGUUUCAAAUAGCAUUCAGUGACAUGUAAAUUUAAUUUCGUGUCUUUUAGGAAAAGCAAAAUUUGACUGCGAAGUCUCCUCUGGUUGCAUUAAGUAAUUUCCAGUCAUGGUAGAUUUUAGUGAUGUCUUAUUUGACCAGGUAAAACAAGUCAUCUAUUUCCCAUCUGAUACUCUCUGGAGCCGAAUUGAACCAAGUAUCACUAUGUCUUUGGCUUACCUCUUCGGGGACCCAGGGACUGGACCCCUGAGCCAACAGACCUCACGCUGGCUUCGCUGGCAGGAGGGUCUGCGCCUGGCUGUGUCCACGCCACACUGGCCAACUUAACUCUGCGCUUCUUUGACCAGUGAAUGGAGGUAGAAUAGAUGAUGUAAAGCAGUAUGACACAAAAUGUUGCAUUUGGCUAUGGAGUUCGUUUUUCUGCUCAUAUUUAAAAGUGAUUGUGUCUGAUAAGUAGGAAGAUCAUUUUUUAAAUUAAUUAAAAACUAAUUUUUUGUUUGUCAGUCUUCCGAUUGGCAGGUGCCAGGAUGCACUCCAACUUCCUCCUGUUGGCGUGGCUCUUGCCCUGUGCAGAGGGUGGACAGGUUCCCUUCAGCUUCAAGGCCAAUCUGAGAGCAAGAGGUCCGUUCCUAGCACUCAGAUUUCAACAGCAGGAAAACAGACAGAAAUUCAUGCCUCUACAUUCCCAGGGGCCACACACUGCAAAUCCUUCUCUCUACAUUCCCAACAGAGAAUGUAAGCACCUUUCAUAUCCCAGAGACAUAGUUAAGAGUUUACUUCAAAUACACCUCAGCCCAUGAUAAAGUUCCUAGUGUUCACAUACAGAUUUUGGGGUCACGUAGAACGAAACAGAAAUAAAAACAAGUCCCAACAAUAAUGAAUAAAAGAGGCUUCAGGAACUGAUGUUUGAAGGAACCUUACAGCUCACUCCCAGGCCACCAUUCUUUCUUGUGAUGGGAGUUGCCUUGUGGGUGCCUGAAUACCACCUUUGAGAGAUCCCCUGAGAACCCAAUAGAUAAUUAUCAAGUAUCUACUCUCCAGCAGGCACCAUGCCAGAGACCCAAACAGAGAGAGGAAUCAGGCUGGAAGAACUUUAAAAUCUGCCAGGAGCGACACAGCCAUGGAAAUUGCUAUAAUGUCCAUUCUGAUAUAACAAACGCUGAAAAUUAAUUAAUUAAAAAAAUGUUAUGAGAAAGCAAAUAAUUCCUGCUACAGUUUGAAUGUGUCCCCCAAAGUGCAUGUGUAAGGAAACUUAAUCCCCAGUGCAACAGCGUUGAGAGGUGGGACCUUUUAAGAGGUGACUGGGUCAGGAGGGUUCUGCUGUCAUGAAUGAAUUAAUGUUAUUAUAAGAGGAGGGUCAGUUAUUGCCAAGAGUGAUUUUAUCAAAGCAAGUUUUGCUCUUUUGCCCACAAUGACACAGCAUGAAGGCCCUCACCAGAGGCCAGUGCCAAGCUCUUGGACUUCCUAGCCUCUAGAACCAUGAGCCAGAUUAAUUUCUAUUGUCUAUAAAUCGCCCAGUCUGUGGUAUUCUGUUACAGCAACACAAAACAAACUAAGACACUUCCAAAUGGAGGACAUGGAGAAAAUGUAAACAUUGCCUCAUCUGUUUUUAAAAUGAGGGUGCAUGGCAGCUGUUAGAUUAAAUAAUUAACAAGCCUGAUUUAAUAUAUCACAGAGCCAUAGACUCUUGGCACGGAGGGCCCAUGAGAGUCACCAAAGCCUGUUUUUUUUUUUCUUUUGGAACUGUUUAUCAAGGAUUCUAAAUAGUAUUGCCUCCUCAGUUCUUGCCUGUAAAAAAAACACGUAGAUACUCAAUAGGCUGGUUGAUCUGUUUCACUUUAUUUCACUCUUUCUAAAUGUUCUGCCUGAAAGUUGGUGUCACAUCCUUCAGAGAUGUCUGGAACUGUGGACCACGCCUGCAGCUGGCUUCCACCUUACUGAACAUGGGUGUGUGGCACAUAGCUGUCAUAUAACAAAUGUGUGACUGAUUGUGCAAAGGUGAAAACGAGUGAGGCCCUCAACUCCACCCUGCCACCCCAACAGCUGAGGAGGGCAGUGGGGGUGCCUGCUGUUUUACAUCCCAGGUAAUUAAACCGCCCCUUGCUCUUCCACUGCCCUUCAUGGACACGGGUGGGGCAGUUAACAUUGUUCAGAACCAGCUUCCACUGAGCAUGGUAUCUCUAAUUAGAGCCUCAGAUCUGUCUGUCUGUCUCUCUCUCUCUCAUAGAUACACACACACACACACACACACACAGUCUGAGUGUGGCGCCCCCGGGCUUGUUUUGCAAGGGCAUUAGAUAGGGAGACAGGGAAAGUGGGCUGGACUGAAGAGUUUAUUUUCUGAAGCCAGACAUUUGUUUGGGCUGCCAUUGGACACUUGAGUAACCUCAAGAGAGGGCUGGCCAGGGCAGGACAGGUCAGGGGAUCCAGCUAAACGGGAGGUCCUUGGGAAUGACACAGAUAACUAAGUGCCGAAUCCCAGGAGGUCAAACAGGCCCAGGAAGGGGCAGACUGAAACUCAUAUCAACACUUGGAAAAAAAAAAGUGACAGAAGACAGGAAAAGGGGUCAGGUGGCACACUCCUUGGGCAGGGCUGGUCCCAAGCUUCCUAUGAAAGCAGAUACAUCGGAGGACUCACCACUGUGCCCCUGAUAAUCUUCUCAGCAUUGUGUAUUUACCCAGUGAAAGCUCUGUAUGCAAAACCCACGGCCUCGAACCUCAGCUUGACCCUCAUUCAGGAUGCCCGGUCAAAGCACUGAGCACUCAACAGAUGAAUAAAUAAACGAAUGAAUGUCUGACAUGGGAUUUCUGAUGCCAGCUUUUAAUCCUGGAUGUGCCACUCGCUGAAGGACCUGGCAAAGUCACUCCAUUUUUCUGAGCUUUGGCUUUCCUAACUGUAAAAGGUUUUAUCUUAAAAAAAAAAAUACUGUAGAUAAUUUCUAAGGCAUCUUCCAGCUCCAACUUCUUUUACCUCAUUCAGAUUUUCACAUAUUCUGAAUUAAGAGGGUCAAGAACACAGUGCUCUGAUUGUGAAGAAUGUCACGAACAGAAGAACUUCUCCAAGAGUUCCAGGAAAGAUUCAAAUGAAGAAAAAGAACAAGAGCUGAAACAAAGCCCUACAGACUCAAUCUGAAGAGUUUUUGAUUUGCACAGAGAUCACCAGACACUGACAGGUACACUGAUAGAUAGUGCUGUAUACACCACCAUAGAAUCCACCAAAAUUCACAGCCCAAACACUGACUAUAAUCAUAAGCACCUGCAUUUACUGAGCACCUACCAUGGGAUGUUGAGCAGUUUAUACUCAUCCUCUCAUUUAACCCACAUGAUCAUCCCAUGAGGCGGGAACUACUAUGGUCCCAUUCUUCAGAUAACAAAACGGAGACAAUGAGAAGAUAAGUAACUUGCCACUCAAGGGACUUGGCGAGGAAGGUAAAAUUCAAACCCAGGCAGCCUGACUCCAGAGCGCAGACCCUGCCCCAGCGAACAGAGCCCGGGGGUGAAGGGUAUGCCCAAGGUCACACUGGAGGGCUGAGGCCGAGUUCUAAAUGUACCACAGCUGGGUGCCAUGCAAGCUUGUCCCUCCCGCAUGCAUAUCUCACUCGCAUUGAUUCAGAGCAGGAGGGGGAAAAAAUGCCUAACACUGAGCACGUGUGAGGAUGAUGUCAUGGGAGGAGGAGGCUACAACUUCCAUUGAGACAACCAUUUCACACCUGGGCACUCCACACCACGCCAUCUUAACAAGACCUCCUUCUUCAUAUCGUUACUCUGCAAAUCACACACAGACCUUGCCCCCCAAAUCAGGGAUAUUUGGAAUAUAUAUCCUGAGUUUGCAGAGGCUAGCUUAGAGCCUGGGUCUGCAAUGGUGGUCUUGGAGUCUCAGGUCACAGAGGCUGGCCUGGUACCAAGAUCUACUAGGAUAAGCCUAGAUCCUGGGUCUACUUGAGCAAGUUGUAACCUGGGUCCUCUGCAGCCUGGGGCCAUGGAGACCUCUCUGGUACUUGGGGUCAGCCCGGUGCUGGGGAUAACAUGGAGCCUUGGUCUCUGGAUCUAUUUACCCCAAAUCAGGAAAUAACCAAGCAAACCCAUUGCUGCUAAGCAACCACUGCAGGCCAUUAGAUACAACAUCGCGAUAGCAGCCCAUGCAUUCAGCCUGCACCCAGUGCUAGGCACAGCCGUGCCAAGAACUCAAUGUGAAUUAUCUUAAUUUCCACACCUCUGACAACCUUCUGAGGUGAACACUAUUAUCAUCCCAUUUUAUAGAGAUGCAGAGACUGAGGUGCAGAGAGAAUGACCACCUGGGGCCACAGCUAGCAAAUUGCAGAGCCAGGGCUGGAACCCGGAGGCGGAGGCUUGAGCGGAGAUGUAAAUGGAAUGGGGCCUCCGUAAGUGGGUCGCCCAGCCCUGGAAGCAAGGUCUCCUCUUCCCCAGUUAGUAUCCUCCCAUGGGCCCUUUUCCCCAGCUUCCCCACCAGGUAGACAGUAACCUGGUGUCCCAGUUACCUCCUUACCGGGUGGGUCUCUAUUUUCCAUGGCUCCUGCCACCAUGGAAGCUGGAGGCUCUGCAAGGCUGUACGUCAGUACAGUUUCUACAGGUGCACAGGGCUAGCUGUGCCCUAAAGAGCGGACGGAAUCCACAUUCUGCACUUCUAGCUGCACAACCUUGGGGUGUGCACACACACACACAAUGCUUCCUUGUUCUUACCAUUCCCAGAGGCCAUGCUCAUAUUUGUUAGCUGAAAUUUAAAGCUUAGGAAGGAAUUUUAAUAAAUUACUUAUGAAACCAAAGUAAACAUCGGGAUAAUUUUUUGCACAAAAAUAACCACACUCAAGGGGAUCAAAAACUCGCAUGAAAAUUAAUUAUUUGGCUUUCCAAGUCCAUUUCAGCCCUCUGUGCCAGCCUGUUGGGAUAACCGGUGCAGCACCCGGUGCCCGGCGGGAGUUGGAAAUCACCAGUCUGACCUCUCACGGACGGCGUGGCCAAAGUUAACUUAGCAAAUUGAGGGCACUGCGAAGCUCGUUAAAUAGGCAAUGACACAUGAAACAAUGAAAAUUGCUGCUCUUGACCACGCUCACCCUCCUGCAGCCUCCAGGGAGGUGGCCUCGGGGCUCACUGACCCUGUGCCAGGAAGCUCUACCCUCAGGACAGGGUGCCAGAGGGCAAGUCACUGGCUUCCCUGGGCCUCUGAGUUUCCUAAUCAGAUUUGCUGUUUUAAAAAAUUACUCCAAAUGUCAAGUGGAGGACAGAUUGGAAAGUGGCAGGGACAGGCCCGUGGGACCAGUUAGGAGGAGGUGGCUCGAGUCGGGAUGAAUCCAGACAGGUGUGGGCGGCAAGCCAGAGGUUAGCACAGCGGGCGUGGGAUAUGGGGCUCAAGGAAAGAAGGCCUGGCAAGUUAUUGUUGACUUGGAUUUUUCUUUCCUCUCUUUUCACACAGUGUAUUAUGUGGUUACAAUGGUGUGUUUGAAGAGGAGCAGGAAUUAAAUACAUUUAGGGUUUUGUUUUGUUUUUUAAGGCAUGGUGGAUGCCAGCAGGCUGAAGGGUCAGGAGGUCUGGUCUUCCCACUGCCACUAAGUGCUGAGCUGAAGCACAAAUUCUUGAAACAUGGCUGGGUGUGGUGGCUCACACCUAUAAUCCCAGCACUCUGGGAGGCUGAGGCACGUAGAUUACCUGAGGUCAGGAGCUCAAGACCAGCCUGGCCAACAUGGUGAAACCCCGUCUCUACUAACAAUACAAAAAUUAGCUGGUUGGUGGUGCAUGCCUAUAAUCCUAGCUACUCGGGAGGCUGAGGCACAAGAACCCAGGAGGUGGAGGUUGCAGUGAUCCAAGACUGCACCACUGCACUUCAGCCUAGGUGACAGAGUGAGACUCUGUCUCAAAAACAAACAAACAAAAACAAGAGUUUGCAUGACAGUGUAGAUGAGACAGGACUGGCCAGGUGUCGGGCUGGAGGACAGGCGCACAGACUGCACCGUGUGAUUCUGUCCACCCUGCAUUGUGUGAGGUUUUCCGUUUUGGAAGAAAAGGGGUGAAGAGCAUGGCUGUGGAGCAUUUCUAGGUUUUCAGGUCACAGAGUCGCACCCAUUUCCUACUUACUGACUCAAGUGAAACCACAGUGUUGGCUUACUUUGAAAAAUAUUUCUUUUUUUUCAGUCCUGGUUCACCCAUUCCCUUCUAAAACCCACCUACCAUACCAAUACAUUCAGUUCCACUCAACAAAUGUUUAUUGAGCAUCUACUAUGUGCUGGGACCAUGCUAAGAAUCCAAGGUGCGUCAGUGAAGGAAACAGAGAAAGACCCACGGCCCACACAAAGGUUACAUUCAAGUUGCGUGAAACAUAAACCAUAAAAUAUAGAUAUGUUAUAAUAAACAGAUAUUACAUGCUUUGUUAGAAAUUGGUAAGUGCAAGGAAAACAAUAUAAGGUACGGGGCAUGGGAGUGAGGUGAGUUGCAUUUUCCUACAGGGAGGUCAGGGUAGGCCUCACUGAGAAGGUGACAUUGACCAAAUGUCAACAAGGCAAAGAAGCGAAGCAUGAGAGCAUCUGAAGAAAGGGCACUCCCAGCAGAGAGGACAGCCAGUGCCAAGGCUGACGGGGAUGGGCACAUAGGGCAAAGGGGCUGCUGUGGCUGGAACAGACUGCUGUUCAGGGAACAGCAAGAGGCCAGAGGGAGUGAGCAAAGGGACACGAUUAGGGAAUCACAGGUAGACAAUGGUAUGAAGGAUGUGGUUUUUAUCCUUAAUAUCCUUGGUGAUGGGAAACCUCAGGAGGGUUUUGAGCAGAGAAAUGAGAUUUUCAAAGGAUCACUCUGGAUGCUGCUGGGAAGAGACCAAAGGAUGCAAUAAUGGAAGCUGAGGGAGGGUCUGGAGGUAGCUGCACGAAUGCAGGUGAGAGGCAAUGCAGGCUUGAACAAGGGUGGUCGCAGUGGAGGGGCAGGAGGUGGUUGGCUCCUGGAGAGAAUUUGAAGGUAGUUCCCACAGUCUUUCCUGAUGCACCAGAUGGGAGAGGAGUCGGAAUGGCUCCAGGGCUUCCCACUUGAGCUGCAGGAAGAUGGAGUGGCCAUUACCUGAGACGGGAAUGGCUGCAGAUGGGCUGGAUGUGGGGCAGUUAACCAGAAGGUCAGUGUUGGAUUGUUCACUAUGGGAAAUCAGGUAGGCAGUGGAUUGAAGAGCAAGAAAGAGUUCUAGGCUGGAGAUAAAUGGAAACAUCAUCAACAUAUUUAAAGCCAUGAGACAAGGUGGGCCCCUCGGAGGACUGGGUAUAACCAGGGAAGAAAGGGGGCCCCACGCAGAGCCCAGGAUCCUCCAGCACGACACUGUCAGAGCAAAGAGAAGGAGCAAGCAGGGGAGAUGGAAAAGGCGAGCAGCAAGGAGGAGGGAGACCAAGAGCACCCGGUGUCCUGGAAGCUGGUGAUGAGGACUCGCCACGUCAAGCAGGAGGAGAACAAGAACUGCCCACAGGACCCAGCCACAGGGGGUGGUGGGUGCCCUGAGAAGGGCCAUGUGGGUGGAGUGGGGGUGCAGAAGUCUGAUGAGACGGCAUUUGGGAAAGAAGGGAAGGAUUAGGACGAGGCAACAGACAAGUAAAACUCUCGUGCGGGGUUCCACCAGAAACGCAACAGGAUGGGGCAGCGGGACGGGGAAGGGGGUCAGGGAAGGGGUCGGGGAAGGUGGUGGCCAUUUCUGGUCAGGUGGAAAAUGGCAGCGUGUCUGUGUGCUAAUGGGGUGAUCCAGCAGAGGGGACAGCAGGUGGUAGGACGAGAGUGAGGCCACAUCAGGAGCUGUGGAAGAAGAGCUGGAGUCAGUCCAAUACCAGGGGUUCUGGCACCACGGGGGCCAAGUGGCUUCUGCCACAGUCACAGUAGAAGGCAGAGUACGGAGGUUUGGGGGCUGGGUGUAGGCGUGUAUGGUUGGGGGAGUCUGAGGAGGCACCCCAGAGAGGCAGUGGGAGCAGCCAAUGCAAUGUGCUCCCACAGCUCCGUCAGCAGGUGGCUGGGGAGGCCACAGGGCAGCUUAGGGUCACCCCGUUUCCACCACUUUUCACCUAUGUAACCUUGAAUGAGUUGUUCACCCUCUCUCUCUCUGCCUCAGUUUCCUAAUCUGUAAACCUGAGCAACUGCAGGUCUCUGCCCCCGGAAAACUCAUUGAGAGCAUGUAGAUGAGGCAAUACCUACACAGCCCCUAGCUCAGCACCUGCCCAUCGGAAUCCUUCCUCUCUGGGUGCCUGCGGUGAAGCCCCGGCCCGGCCAACCUGGACCUCUCCAUUCCCACUCUGGAGCUAGCGCUGGGUGUUCCUGGGGAAGCACUGCUUGGCCUCCUCACUCAUGCUUUCACAUUGUUUCUCACUCUCACAUCCAGACAAGACAGCACCAGGAAACCCACGCUGAGCUGGAACCCUCCUUCUGCAACAAACAAGCUGGGAAGGUCCUGGGCAAGUUGUUACGUCUCUCUGAGCCUCGUUUGCAUCCCACAUAAAAGAGGAGGCAGGAUUGAAUGAGCUCUAAGGUUCCUUCAAGUUCUAGAUUCAUGAAAUAAUGUUUUUUCCUCAAGAAAAAGAAUUAUUCAUUGUAUAAAGAAAUACACACCUGUAAUCCCAACUACCCACUGGCUGAGGCAGGAGGCUCGUUUGAGGCUCGUUGAGUUCAAGGCUGCAGCGAGAUCAGGCCACUACGCUCCAGCUUGGGUGACAGGGUGAGACCCUGUCAGAAAAAAAGAAAAGAAAAGAAGAGGGAAGGGGAUGGGAGGGGAGGGGAGGGGAGGGGAAACAAUGGGUCUCAAAGAAAAUCCUUUAAGAACACACAGAAGCAGUAGGGAGAGCCCACGCCUGUCCUCAUUUGUCCCUGGAGCUGUGGGCUGUGAGCUGAUGCUGUGAAGGCCAGACCCAAAGCCAGUCACACAGAGGCAGCAGCUGGACCGGCCUCGCCGACUGAGACCAGUGGCCACACAGACACACACCUGACAAGGUAGACCACGAAACACAGACGCAGGCCUACUGCCAAACAGACGACUUCUCCCUCAAAGCACAGUCAUCUUCAGAAUGAGAGGCGGCCCAUCCUAUGGAACCGAGAGGCGUGGCUCUUAAAUUUGGGCUUCAAAAGACAAGCUCAGUCCCUGAUUUUUUCCACCUGAGAAGGAGGCUUUUCUGAACAUGACCCAGUGCGUUCAGAGCAGCCAGGAUGAGGAAACACAUCUACAAAGAAGCAGCUUAAUCCAAACACAAGAAAUGGUAUGCAAAAUAGGAUAUCAGACGUACUUUUGCAAUUGAACAUGGUCAAAACCAUUUUGCAGCAAGUAACUUUUCCUGAGUUCAAGUAAGAGUUUAGUCCAACAUUUAUAUGUGACACAGCCAUGUGAGGCCUCUUCUCUGAGUACAAAGUAAAGUCUGG